rnacentral:rRNA from 1 species
GGUGGAGUAUGUGGUUUAAUUCGAUGCAACGCGAAGAACCUUACCUGGUCUUGACAUCCCGGAGACCCUUAGGAAACUAGGGGUGCUUCCAUCUGGAAGAAUCUGGAGACAGGUGCUGCAUGGCUGUCGUCAGCUCGUGUCGUGAGAUGUUGGGUUAAGUCCCGCAACGAGCGCAACCCUUGCCUUUAGUUGCCAGCAGUUCGGCUGGGCACUCUAAAGGGACUGCCGGUGUUAAACCGGAGGAAGGUGGGGAUGACGUCAAGUCCUCAUGGCCUUUAUGACCAGGGCUACACACGUACUACAAUGGCCGAUACAAAGGGCAGCGACACUGCGAGGUGAAGCCAAUCCCGUAAAAUCGGUCUCAGUCCGGAUUGGAGUCUGCAACUCGACUCCAUGAAGUUGGAAUCGCUAGUAAUCGUGGAUCAGCAUGCCACGGUGAAUACGUUCCCGGGCCUU